GAUACAAACAUUAUGGCAAAUGUGAGGGUUUCACCGUUGGUAAAAAUCCAUCUGCCGCACUUCAGUCUCUCCCCCAGGACAUGUUCCUUCAAAAAAGUGUCAGUUCAAUGCUCUGCAAUCCAAAACCCAUGACGGUAAUUACAUUGUAGGUCCACCAGGGAGACAUCUCUGUUCCUAGCAGAGUGUCUGACACAUAGUAGGUCUUAGUAAACAUUGUCUGGAAAAUGCAUCACAGGAAGAAAAUGAGCUAGCUAGAGAAAGGCACAGAGUAGGGAAUCCUUUCAUGCAGUAACUUUUUUGUUUUUGCAGGAUAACUAAUCACCCUAUGUUAUAAUUGUUUUAUAACAGAUGAUUAUACAGGAGUUUGAGUUGACCAGAAAGUCUUAUGCUAACCAGCUCCUCAGGUACCUCAUGAUUUUCAAAAAGCCUUAGAGAUCUGUGCAGCCUCGCCCAGGUAGAGUCCAGCUCACACCCUCGGCCCACUGAUCACCUUCCAGAAAGAGGCAGUGCUGGCUCAGGACCAGUCCUGGUCCAGAAGGCUCCAGUGGUGCAUAUCGAAGUAGGUGUGGAAGGAGUGGGCAGGCAGAUACAUUUCAGACUCCUGGGCUCUGAAGAUCUAAGUUAUGGGUUGCAUCUCAGCCCUUGGGAACCUUUUGGAGGUGUCUUUGUGGGGAGCAGAGGAAGAAUGAAAUUAAUUCAACUCCAGACCACAAAAGGGGACUUUAACACCAUCAGGGCUCAAACUGAGAACCCAGAAUAAGCCUCAGGUAUGUCCAGAAACUUAAUCAUUUGGACAAUGCUAAAUUGGUGAGGAGAGGACAGGUAGCUAGAGCCAAAGGCACUGAGGCCAUCUCAACGUUCCUAGUAAUGCCUGACACUGCCCCCUUGUGGAGGAACACAGGGUGGCACCGGCUCAGAGUCUGAGGACACGUACCCCUCCCUGCCUGCUGGGCUGGCAAAUAGCUAGCAAUUAUUGAAUGCUUACUCUGUACUGGGAAUUCCACAUGCAUGACCUCAUUUUAUGCUCACAGCAAUCAUGUGAGAUAGGGUCAGUUAUUAUCCCCAUUUUACAGAUAAAGAGAUGAUGGCUCAGCAAGGUUGGUUAACUUGUCCAAGGUCACAUAGUGAAUGAUAGUUGGGUUCCAUGUUCUGUCGAGAUGUCUCCAAAGACUGCCAAUACUACACCAUGCCAUUUUCAGUCUCUGCACAUUCUCUUUUCUAUUUGUCAAUGGAAGGGAUUUUAAAAUGCUCAGGUAACACAACUCUGACUAGCUCCUAACACUAGACAACUCUAACUGUCCUCAAGGAAAUAGUAUAAUUGUUUUGCAACUUCACAUAGCAAAAACGCUAUGUUUUGCUCUGUGCAUUACAGUCAGGCCUUGCCAUUUGCAAGACUCCCUCCCAUCAUCUCCUUGGAUGGUCGCUGUGGUCCUGUAAGUUACUGGGAACAACAUACUGUCCUACACUCUCUCCCCUUUA